GUGAGGACGUCCAGCGACGCUAUAGCACAGAAAACCUGUACUAUGGACCAGGAAGUGCCCUCUAGUGGCUGUCUAGUAGCCACUAGGGGAGGACUUAACCCUGCAAGGUAAUUAUUGCAGUUUAUAAAAAUUGCAAUAAUUACACUUGCAGGGUUAAGGGUAGUGGGAGUUGGCACCCACACCACUCCAGUGGGCAGAAGUGGUCUG